rnacentral:rRNA from 1 species
GCAAGUCGAGCGAACAGAUAAGGAGCUUGCUCCUUUGACGUUAGCGGCGGACGGGUGAGUAACACGUGGGUAACCUACCUAUAAGACUGGGAUAACUUCGGGAAACCGGAGCUAAUACCGGAUAACAUUUGGAACCGCAUGGUUCUAAAGUGAAAGAUGGUUUUGCUAUCACUUAUAGAUGGACCCGCGCCGUAUUAGCUAGUUGGUAAGGUAACGGCUUACCAAGGCGACGAUACGUAGCCGACCUGAGAGGGUGAUCGGCCACACUGGAACUGAGACACGGUCCAGACUCCUACGGGAGGCAGCAGUAGGGAAUCUUCCGCAAUGGGCGAAAGCCUGACGGAGCAACGCCGCGUGAGUGAUGAAGGGUUUCGGCUCGUAAAACUCUGUUAUUAGGGAAGAACAAACGUGUAAGUAACUGUGCACGUCUUGACGGUACCUAAUCAGAAAGCCACGGCUAACUACGUGCCAGCAGCCGCGGUAAUACGUAGGUGGCAAGCGUUAUCCGGAAUUAUUGGGCGUAAAGCGCGCGUAGGCGGUUUCUUAAGUCUGAUGUGAAAGCCCACGGCUCAACCGUGGAGGGUCAUUGGAAACUGGGAAACUUGAGUGCAGAAGAGGAAAGUGGAAUUCCAUGUGUAGCGGUGAAAUGCGCAGAGAUAUGGAGGAACACCAGUGGCGAAGGCGACUUUCUGGUCUGUAACUGACGCUGAUGUGCGAAAGCGUGGGGAUCAAACAGGAUUAGAUACCCUGGUAGUCCACGCCGUAAACGAUGAGUGCUAAGUGUUAGGGGGUUUCCGCCCCUUAGUGCUGCAGCUAACGCAUUAAGCACUCCGCCUGGGGAGUACGACCGCAAGGUUGAAACUCAAAGGAAUUGACGGGGACCCGCACAAGCGGUGGAGCAUGUGGUUUAAUUCGAAGCAACGCGAAGAACCUUACCAAAUCUUGACAUCCUUUGAAAACUCUAGAGAUAGAGCCUUCCCCUUCGGGGGACAAAGUGACAGGUGGUGCAUGGUUGUCGUCAGCUCGUGUCGUGAGAUGUUGGGUUAAGUCCCGCAACGAGCGCAACCCUUAAGCUUAGUUGCCAUCAUUAAGUUGGGCACUCUAGGUUGACUGCCGGUGACAAACCGGAGGAAGGUGGGGAUGACGUCAAAUCAUCAUGCCCCUUAUGAUUUGGGCUACACACGUGCUACAAUGGACAAUACAAAGGGCAGCUAAACCGCGAGGUCAUGCAAAUCCCAUAAAGUUGUUCUCAGUUCGGAUUGUAGUCUGCAACUCGACUACAUGAAGCUGGAAUCGCUAGUAAUCGUAGAUCAGCAUGCUACGGUGAAUACGUUCCCGGGUCUUGUACACACCGCCCGUCACACCACGAGAGUUUGUAACACCCGAAGCCGGUGGAGUAACCAUUUAUGGAGCUAGC